GAAAUUUGGUAUAUUUUUAUUCAUUUACAGCAUUAAAUAAAUUAAAAUAUUGGUCAUAAGUAUUCAUCUACUUUUAUAUUGAAAAUAUUAUACCCAAAGCCAUCUGCCAAGUUGAAGAACAUGAGACUAGAAUAUCAGACUGCCUAGUUUCAGAACAUUUCCAAAAUGAAUACAAUUUGAGCAGAGCAUCUAGCACCAAUUUGUGUACAUGGUCAGCAUACAAUGUGAAUGACUCUGAUUUCAACGACUUGUUUAAUUAUAAAGAAAAUAUUUUUGCCCAUUAGAGUUAUGUGCUUUUAAGUCAAACUGGAAUGGAAACAUUUUACGCAGUAUCCCCUUUAUUCUAUCCAGUGUUUUUAAUCUUAAACAACUACAUUGUCUGAUAUUAAUAUCUCCACUCUUUUCAUUUAGUUUGCAAUUGCCUGCAACUGCCUCUUUGUUUUCAAUAUUUCUUGACCCACGUGUUUUAAGCUUGUUUCUUGACGUCAGCAUAUAAGUUCUGUCUUCUGAUAGAAGAGUUUGAUUUGUUCACAUUUAAUGUCCUAUAUAAUUAAUUUUAUUUUUCCAUCUUACUUUAUUAUUGAUUUUAUACUGUUGUUUCCUUUUUUCUCAUUUUUGUUAUGAUCAGCAAAAUCCAUUUCAAAUGUCCACUCCACUUAUUGUUAACGUUGCUUACUAUCCUGCCACACAGAUGUAUAUUCUACUAUCAUAUGAAGGCAAGAGAAAAACCACCUUCUUUAAUAAGGCUCGUAAUCCUCCUGCCCACAUCAGUUAGAUGACAACUUUAAAAUAAGUUUAUCUCUGUUCUUUCUUACCCCUCUCCCUACCCUCCCCCAUGAGAGCAAUUCACCUCUCAUGUCUUGCUCCUAGCUUUGCUAAGAUCAUUUAAUAGUGUAGUGGAUAACCUUAGUGCUCAUCAAUAUAAAGUUCCCCUUUAGUUUUUGUACUUCACUUCUUAGCUCCCUUGCACUCAGUUAAGGCCAUGUAACAGAUUCUGGCCAAUGAAAUGUAAAUAGAAGCCACGUGGGUCAUUUCUGGGCUGAGUCAGCGAAAAGCUCUUAUGCGUUUUUAAAUCUUUCUUCCUCUCCCAGAAAAGUCAUGGAGAAGCCCUUAUCUUAAGAUAGCAGAGCCACAAAAUUUAAGUGGCUUGAAAUUUGAGAGGCCUGGAGGUCAGCUGUCUGGGAGAAUUGCCCAAAGGAAAGAAGAUUACUAUAAGCAAGUGAGAAGUAAUUGUCUGUUUCUGCAGAAAAACCUGGAGGAAUUCUACCUUCCUCAGACUCAAGACAAGGAAGCUUCAGCUCUUCUUUUGGCUUCUGAGAACUUUUUGAGAACGUCAAUGUGGAACUAUCUCAUUCAGUCUUUCCCACAGGUCUCCACAGAUCUCAGAAAGCCAAGCCACUCUCAACAUACAUUGCUUUUCAGUCUUUGUCCCCAA
rnacentral:lncRNA from 1 species